rnacentral:rRNA from 1 species
UACGUAGGGCGCAAGCGUUGUCCGGAAUUAUUGGGCGUAAAGAGCUCGUAGGCGGCGUGUCGCGUCGGGUGUGAAAGCCCGGGGCUUAACCCCGGUUCUGCUUCCGGUACGGGCAUGCUGGAGUGUGGCAGGGGAGACUGGAAUUCCUGGUGCAGCGGUGGAAUGCGCAGAUAUCAGGAGGAACACCGGUGGCGAAGGCGGGUCUCUGGGCCAUUACUGACGCUGAGGAGCGAAAGCGGGGGGAGCGAACAGG